rnacentral:rRNA from 1 species
ACGAAGGGAGCUAGCGUUGUUCGGAAUUACUGGGCGUAAAGGGCGCGUAGGCGGUCUAUCAAGUCAGGUGUGAAAGCCCUGGGCUCAACCCGGGAAUUGCGCUUGAGACUGAUAGUCUUGAAUUCGGGAGAGGUUGGUGGAAUUCCCAGUGUAGAGGUGAAAUUCGUAGAGAUUGGGAAGAACACCCGUGGCGAAGGCGGCCAACUGGACCGACAUUGACGCUGAGGCGCGAAAGCGUGGGGAGCAAACAG